AUACUUACCUGACAGGGGAGGCACCAUGAUCAUUUAGGUGGUCCUCCCAGGGUGAGGCUCAUCCAUUGCACUGCGGGUGGGUUGACCCCUGCGAUUUCCCCAAAUGCGGGAAACUCGACUGUAUAAUUUGUGAUACUGGGGACUGCGUUCGCGCAAUCCCCUG
ensembl:snRNA U1 U1 spliceosomal RNA